rnacentral:rRNA from 1 species
AGAGUUUGAUCCUGGCUCAGGACGAACGCUGGCGGCGCGCUUAACACAUGCAAGUCGUACGCUGGGGCUUCGGCCCUGGAGUGGCGGACGGGUGCGUAACACGUGAGCGAUCUGCCCAGAUGGGGGGGAUACCCCGGGGAAACCCGGGUCAAUCCCGCAUGUGGUUUUCCUUCUUCAUGGAGGGAUUAUCAAAGGUCCUUUACGGGACUCUGUCUGGAGGAGCUCGCGGCGUAUCAGCUAGUUGGUAGGGUAACGGCCUACCAAGGCGACGACGCGUAGGGGGUCUGAGAGGAUGGCCCCCCACAUGGGGACUGAGAUACGGCCCCGACUCCUACGGGAGGCAGCAGUGGGGAAUCUUGCGCAAUGGGCGAAAGCCUGACGCAGCGACGCCGCGUGCGGGAGGACGCUUUUCGGAGUGUAAACCGCUGUCGGGAGGGACGAACCCUGUCCGUAGGGAAUGACGGACAGCUGACGGUACCUUCAAAGGAAGCACCGGCUAACUCUGUGCCAGCAGCCGCGGUAAUACAGAGGGUGCAAGCGUUGUUCGGAAUCAUUGGGCGUAAAGCGCACGUAGGCGGCCCGUUAAGUCCGACUGUGAAAGACCGGGGCUCAACCCCGGGGCUGCAGCGGAUACUGGCGGGCUUGAGACACGUAGAGGCCGGCGGAAUUCCGGGUGUAGCGGUGGAAUGCGUAGAGAUCCGGAAGAACACCGGUGGCGAAGGCGGCCAGCUGGGCGUGGUCUGACGCUGAGGUGCGAAGGCGUGGGGAGCGAACAGGAUUAGAUACCCUGGUAGUCCACGCGGUAAACGAUGGACACUCGCCGCGGGGGGGAUCGAGCCCUUCCGUGGCCAAGCUAACGCGACAAGUGUCCCGCCUGGGAGUACGGCCGCAGGCUGAACUCAAGGAUUGACGGGGCCCCACAGCG